AUCAUCGUUAAGUGGCGUCUGAUGCAUAAGGGCCCUAGGAAUGGGGGUGCCUGCCUUGGUCUCUAAAGGAUGGGUUCAAAAGGCAAGAGCAACAGACAAGAAGAUAGCUUCAAGCAGGAGAAAAAGCUUGGCCAAGGGCCCAAAGGGGAUAGGACCCUUCAGGUUGGCCCUGACCUCUGGGUUGGAUUACCAGUGACACAAUGAACAUUUCGUUAUGAGGCCAUCCCUUGAGCACUGAGGAACUGAAUCCAGCAAACAAUUAUGUGAAGAAACUUGGAAGCUUGUCCUCCCCUCCGGUUGAGCUUUGAGAUUACUGCCGCCCUAGUGGACACCUUGAUUGAAGCCUUAUGAGAAACCCUAAGCCACAGAACCCAAUUAAGCUACACUUACAUUCCCAACACACAGAAAAUAUGAGCUAAUAAAUGUUGUUUCAAACCA